GUCAGCAGUGGUUUCCUACACCUGCAACUCAAGAACUCUAAGGGUUACUGCCUCCAUUGUUUGUUAAGGCACCACAAGACUUUGCUGAACUGUACAUAAUGCUUUAGGUCAAUAAGUGAUAUUAGCUCACUACAACCUCUGGCUCUUGAGCUCAAGCCAUCCUCCUGCCUCAGCCUCCCGAGUAGCUGGGACUAUAGGCACGUGCCACCAUGCCCCGCUAAUUUUUUUUUUUUUUUAAGUAGAGACGAGGUCUUGCUAUGUUGCCCAGGCUGGUGUCGAACUCCUGGGCUCAAGCUGGGCUCAAGCUAUCCUCCUGUCUCAGCCUCCCAGUGAGCACUAUAUUAGUUAGCACAUAGAUUCUGUACAAAGAUCAAGAGAGAACAGUCUACUUUAUUUCCCAUUUAGUAGUCCAUCUAUAAGGGGUUGAGAGCUAUUUGGGUGGCUUCCUGUUCUCUG
rnacentral:lncRNA from 1 species